rnacentral:rRNA from 1 species
UACGAGUGCCUCAAGCGUUAUCCGGAAUUAUUGGGCGUAAAGAGCUCGUAGGCGGUCUGUUGCGUCUGCUGUGAAAACCCGGGGCUUAACCCCUGGCUUGCAGUGGAUACGGACAGACUAGAGGUAGGUAGGGGAGAAUGGAAUUCCCGGUGUAGCGGUGAAAUGCGUAGAUAUCAGGAGGAACACCUGUGGUGUAGACAGCUUACUGGACCACUUCUGACGCUGAGACACGAAAGCGUGGGUAGCAAACAGG